rnacentral:rRNA from 1 species
UGGCGGACGGGUGAGUAAUGUCUGGGAAACUGCCCGAUGGAGGGGGAUAACUACUGGAAACGGUAGCUAAUACCGCAUAACGUCGCAAGACCAAAGAGGGGGACCUUCGGGCCUCUUGCCAUCGGAUGUGCCCAGAUGGGAUUAGCUAGUAGGCGGGGUAACGGCUCACCUAGGCGACGAUCCCUAGCUGGUCUGAGAGGAUGACCAGCCACACUGGAACUGAGACACGGUCCAG